UCCAUUCCAAAAUUCACAUAGCCCUCAAC
rnacentral:sRNA from 1 species